GUAAAUACCCACCUUCUUCAUAGACUGAAGUAUAUAUUACGCCAUUUUAUUCUUCGCUUCAAGCCACCUCUCUCUGCGUAAAUAAUUAAAUAUAUAUUUGAUAAUCUAUACCUAUUGUCAACGGCGAUCGGAAUUUCGUUUGGAUUUUUUAUGGCUUCUCUGGCUCCGGCCAAGUCUCCGGCGCUGCACAACUUCGCCUUGCCGCGCUUGAAAUGGAACAAGGAUAACCACAACCACUCCAACGGCCACCGCCGCCGCCGCUCCAUCAAGUCUCAUUCUUGCGAAUCUCAUCCAUCUUCCGGUUCUCCGCUUCGAGAGCCACCGCACCAGUCUCCUCUGGGCAAGUCUGCUUCGGUUAUGCUGGUGCAGUCGCAACAGGCUUCGUUGGGCGAAUCGUCAUCAGUUUGUGAUGAUUUAAUGAAGCACUCUCCUUUGCGCGGUGAAUCUCCUCUUCGCAAUUCGGUGAAGCAGUCUCCGAUGUCUGGGGACUCGGUGAAACAAUCUCCGAAACACAAUUUAGCCGUCGAAUCCGAGGUUUCCAGGACGAAUAAAAGUGUUUUGAUUGAGUACCACAGGAAUCAUGUUGGGGAUUCGGCAACUGAAAAUAAUAGAAACGGGCUUUACAUGACUAAUCUUGAUCAAGCUAUUCAAAAGUCAGAGAAAAAACGGAAGGUAGAAGAAGCUGAUGCAAGUGCAAAGAGAUCGAGAAUCUUGCGCGAAAAUGAAUCGGAGGAAAAUCAGAAAGAAGAACCACAAAAGAUCAACAAUAAUCUUGACGAUGAUCGUGAUGUUAAUGAUGAGGAGGGUAAAAUAAAUAAUAAUGAAGGAGAACCCAAGACAUGGAAUUUGAGACCACGAAAACCAAUCUGCAAGUCUCUUAAUGGAUUGAACGGAAAGAUUAACGGGUCAUCAAUGCAAGAUAAGAAAACUCAUUCACCGUUAAGGAAUUCAAGUAAUAGAUUGGGAGAGAAUGAAGCAAAUGGUGGUGGUGGUCAAAAGAAGGAGAAGAGGAAGCUGAGCAUUUGGAUCGCAAUCUCAAAAGAGGAGAUCGAGGAGGAUGUUUUCAUUUUGACUGGAUCAAAGCCGACGAGGAGGCCUAAGAAGAGAGAAAGACACAUCCAGAAACAUCUCGAUAGUCUGUUUCCUGGAUUGUGGUUGACAUCAAUAACUCCUGAUUCAUACACCAUCUGAAACUUAUCUAAAGGGAUAGAUGCAAUAAAGGAUAGACUGUGCUUCACUUCCAAAUUUUUCGAUGGCAUUUGAAGAUAUCCGGUUGAAACAGUGGACACGUCAUUGCUCUGGAUGAGGAUGGGUGUGGUGUAGGAAGUAGGCAAGAGAAAUCAAAAGCUCGGUUUUGAACUUCAAACCGGACCUCGGAUCAUUUGAAAGAGAAGAUCCAACCCUUGACUCAGAAAUUUGCAUGCGCUGCCUAUUUUCGCUCCCUCGUUCCCCUGGAAAGAAAAUGAGGUUUGUUCCUCUUCGAAAAUUGUUUGAACUGGUGAACAUUACCUGAAUGUAUGAAUAUCAAAACGUUUGGCACCCUCGAUCAUUGGCCUGCACCAGUCAAAAGAAAUGGUUUGUUUUGUUAAAGGCUCGAUUGUGGCAGCAUAAACCUUCAUCGAAGAUAGUUUUUAGCUCAAGAAUUUGGUCCCUCAGUCUUACAAUUAGCAUUUUGCAUUUAUUUUAUUUUAUUUUUUUUGUUCA